rnacentral:rRNA from 1 species
GAUGAACGCUAGCGGCAGGCCUAACAUAUGCAAGUCGAGCGGGAUCCACCUUCGGGUGGUGGGAGCGGCGCACGGGUGCGUAACGCGUAUGCAACCUACAUUUUGCUACGGGCUAGCCCAGGGAAACUUGGAUUAACUCCGUAUAGUAUGCGGUGUCCUCGUGGGGGCUGUAUUAAUGGCUACGACCAACGAUGGGCAUGCGGCCUAUUCGAUAGGUGGUAAGGUAACGGCUUACCAUGGCUACGAUAGGUAGGGGCCUUGAGAGGCGGAUCCCCCACACUGGUACUGAGACACGGACCAGACUCCUACGGGGGGCAGCAGUGAGGAAUAUUGGACAAUGGGCGGAAGCCUGAUCCAGCCAUGCCGCGUGCAGGAAGACGGACCUAUGGGUUGUAAACUGCUUUUGUACGGGAAUAAACACCCCCUCGUGAGGGGGCUUGACGGUACCGUAAGAAUAAGGAUCGGCUAACUCCGUGCCAGCAGUCGCCGUAA